UAGCUUUCCAUACCAUUUCCUGUGGCUCAGUGGUUAGCAAUACUAAGGUCAUGGCUUUGAUCCCAGGGGAUUGCAAAUAGUCAGAAACAAAAAAUACUUUUGGCCUCUAGGGCCUCCAAAUGUUUAGAACCGGCCCUGGAAUCCAAGUUCCCAUUAAAAUAGUGACAACACCAAUCACUUUAACAGUUCAUCAAUUAUUAAUUCCAUAUACGUCAUUAGAGAUUGUCAUUCAUCAAAGUUACAAAUCACAUCAGAACAGUGUUACACAAUUCUUUAUAGAAAAUCUAGAAAAUCACAUACAAAGAAUAACAUUAUACAAUCCCCAAAUCAAAAAGUUUAAUAUAAUAGAAGGACUUAUAAAGCCAUUUUGACUGAACGUUAGUUCAAAAGAAUCGAGGAAAAUGUGAAUAUUUGAUCUGUCAGAACCCAUUACAAAACAAGUGGAGUAUCCGGAUCGACUGGUAGUUUAGGGUCACAAAACAGCUCUCAAUGAAACACUCAGCUCAAGUGUCUGCUUUCGACAACACAACAGAGAUUCAUGUCAUGCGGAUACUCCGGGGAUUAAAAUUGCUCCACUUCAAAAAUCGAAAGCACACCAAAGGAGGUCUAUAUAUAACUCUGCUUUCCUAAUAUCUGGCGACUCGAGGUGUCAAUCGUUUUACACACAAUGAGGCAUCACCACCGCUAUUUGACUUUACUCCUCAUCUCCACUUUUCUCCUCUUCUGUUUUUACUUUCAAAACUCAGUGUUGAUUUUUACCUAUAAUUCUUAUUUUCGUAAUGAGACCGAGCGCGCUCCGUGCGCGUGUGGCGACUGUCCGCUGGACCGGGUGCGCGCGGACUGGUUCAGUGCGCGUUACGAACCGACAGUCCAUCUGCUGCUCAACAGCAGCAACAGCGUGUUACGCGCAGACGUCUUCAGGUGGUGGAAGGGUCUACAAAUUGUAACACGUGUUGCCGACUACACAGAGGUGGUGAAGAAACUGUUUCCACUCUUUCCGGAUAAAGAACACUACUCAGAUGCUGGUCCAGACCGCUGCAGAACCUGCGCUGUGGUCGGGAACUCCGGGAACCUGCUGAGAUCCCAUUAUGGACCUCUCAUAGAUUCCAAUGACUUUGUCAUGAGGAUAAAUAAGGGUCCAACGGAAGGUUUUGAGAAGGAUGUUGGUUCCAGAACCACUCACAGGAUCAUGUACCCUGAGAGCUCUGUGGAUAUGGACAACUCAACUCACCUGGUGUUUUAUCCUUUUAAGAUUCUGGAUAUGGAGUGGCUCAUCAGUGCCUUAACCACUAAAAACAUCAACAAAACAUAUAUAGAAGUGCCAUCCACAAUAAAGGCUAAUAAGGACAAGCCUCACACACAACAACAACAAUCAGAGAAGGAAGAUCAGAGGCCUGCAGAGGUCAGAGGUCACGUACAGUGUCACACUAACAGGGAGUGAUUGAAGAUGAAGUUUCAGUGAGGAUGAUGAUGAUGAAGAGUUCGGCACAGGUGGGUUUAAACCCCACGUCCCUCCAGAAACCACAUUUUCAACUUUUUAUAUUCCCUCUUUUUCUCUUUGUGUAUCUGUCAGGGUGACCUUUCACAUCAAAACUGUAGAAAUUUGAAAAAAAUGAAUUUAAGAACAACGUGGUACUAUUUGUUGCACUGAUUUAGCCCAAAAUUAUGGUAUUAAAUUAAUUUAUUGACAUUUUAAUACUCCUAUACAGAAAUGUUGUACACUCAUAACAAACGUAUUUAUUAGUACACAAAACACUAACAUCCAUACCACAGUUAUAUAUUGAACAUGGUAAUGCUGUGGGUCAAACAAUACUGAGCAAUGUGUAAUGGAGUGAGUGUGAUUUAAAUAGUGACUGAGUGAUAGGCAACAGGUGAAGGUGUAAUCAGAGGGGAUCUUGGGAAAUGGAGUCCAUGGUGAAACAGUCCAUGGUGAAACAGAUGUCCCCAGUGUUUGGGGACAUCUGGUGGCAGGGAACACAUAUAUGACAAUAUUAGUUCAUUCACAAGUGUGUUUCUCUUGGUAUUUUUUCUCUUAAGGUAAUGAUACUCCACCCAGAAUUUAUGAAAUAUGUUUAUGUGAAUUGGACGGAGAGUCACGGAAGAUAUCCAUCCACAGGCUUCCUAACGCUGAUACUUGCUCUGCACAUUUGUGAUGAGGUGAAAGUUUUCGGGUUUGGAGCUACUAA